AUUCCAUGAUGGGGACAUUCUAGGAUGUAGUCUUGAAAGCGCUCCCAUGCUUCUGGAACAGAUUCAUCAUUUUGUUGCUGAAAACUUGUAAUCUUCGCACGGAGAGC
rnacentral:snoRNA from 1 species